rnacentral:rRNA from 1 species
AUUGAACGCUGGCGGCAUGCCUUACACAUGCAAGUCGAACGGCAGCACGGGAGCAAUCCUGGUGGCGAGUGGCGAACGGGUGAGUAAUAUAUCGGAACGUGCCCAGUCGUGGGGGAUAACGUAGCGAAAGCUACGCUAAUACCGCAUACGAUCUAUGGAUGAAAGCGGGGGACUCGCAAGACCUCGCGCGAUUGGAGCGGCCGAUAUCAGAUUAGGUAGUUGGUGAGGUAAAGGCUCACCAAGCCGACGAUCUGUAGCUGGUCUGAGAGGACGACCAGCCACACUGGGACUGAGACACGGCCCAGACUCCUACGGGAGGCAGCAGUGGGGAAUAUUGGACAAUGGGCGAAAGCCUGAUCAGCAAUGCCGCGUGAGUGAUGAAGGCC